UAGCUUUUGUUAUUGUUCACUUGUUUUAAAUCUUCUGAUGGAGAGAAAGAUUUCUGCAUGAUGUAGAAGAUCUCAGCCACCUGAAGAGGCCUUCCUAGGGGUCUGAAAUGAUAUCACAGUGAGGUAGCAAGUCCUCAGAGGCAACAACGAGAUGUGCCAGCAGCCAGCAUGCACCAGGUGCCAGAGUGCUGAGGAAGGAACACCAGCGGUGAUCUGCUCUUCCAGGAACCCUCUAGCUGAAGAAACCCAAUGGAGUGUUUGGAACAAUUUAAAUAUUUCACAAUCAGAUACUAAAUCUGCUGCUUUCCCCAAGAGAUGCUUGAGGAGAAUGCCCUGUCCUUGACUGGCUGGUGACACUGAGCUGGCUGCUUCAUUAAUCGCAGUGCCGCCGGGCAGGGUGUCGUAAAGCCACUGCUCAGCAUUUGUAAGUGGGGACUGCAUAUUUAUACUCAGCGUUGUGCUGUGCCAUUAAUUUACCAGAACACAAACUGAAGUGGUAGUUAUUAGCAGUGUCCAUUUAUUAUAGCCAUUUUAUUUUUCAUGUCCUUUAAACAUUAAUCGCUCUUUUUAAUAGGUUAGAGUUGGUUGAACAGAUGUGAAAUAAAUGAUAUAGGUCUGUGAUCAGUAAAUGCAUUUUAACUUAUUUUCCUCCUUUUUUUUUUUAAUAUCCCACCUAUGCAAACACACCGUUUAAGAUUAUUCCAAGUGCCUAAUAGACUCCCAUGGCAAAGUGUCACCAACAGUUGUUGCUGACUUUAAAAUCAAUCAGUGGUGUGAUGUGUCUGGCACAGAGUGGUUCAGCAGUGGGUCGGCUAUGGUGGGAAGCACAGGGAGGGAAAUGCUGCUCGUUGUAGCUGUCAUACACAGCCACGUUGCAUGGGGCAGGAAACCACUCACUGAGGACUCUUUGUGGGAUGGAAACCUGUUUGGAUCUGUAUUGAAGUUGGCUGUGGGUAAUGACAUUCAGUUGGUCAGAUGGCAGUUACUUCUGAAGCUUACAUGACAGUAAAUAAU
rnacentral:lncRNA from 7 species